GGGCCCGCACAAGCGGUGGAGCAUGUGGUUUAAUUCGACGCAACGCGCAGAACCUUACCAGCCCUUGACAUGUCCAGGACCGGUCGCAGAGAUGUGGCCUUCUCUUCGGAGCCUGGAGCACAGGUGCUGCAUGGCUGUCGUCAGCUCGUGUCGUGAGAUGUUGGGUUAAGUCCCGCAACGAGCGCAACCCCCGUCCUUAGUUGCUACCAUUUAGUUGAGCACUCUAAGGAGACUGCCGGUGAUAAGCCGCGAGGAAGGUGGGGAUGACGUCAAGUCCUCAUGGCCCUUACGGGCUGGGCUACACACGUGCUACAAUGGCGGUGACAAUGGGAUGCGAAGACGCAAGUCCUAGCAAAUCUCAAAAAGCCGUCUCAGUUCGGAUUGGGCUCUGCAACUCGAGCCCAUGAAGUUGGAAUCGCUAGUAAUCGUGGAUCAGCACGCCACGGUGAAUACGUUCCCGGGCCUU
rnacentral:rRNA from 1 species